rnacentral:rRNA from 1 species
UACGAAGGGGGGCUAGCGUUGCUCGGAAUGACUGGGCGUAAAGGGCGCGUAGGCGGCUUGCACAGUCAGAUGUGAAAUUCCUGGGCUUAACCUGGGGGGCUGCAUUUGAUACGUGUGGGCUUGAGUGCGGAAGAGGGUCGUGGAAUUCCCAGUGUAGAGGUGAAAUUCGUAGAUAUUGGGAAGAACACCGGUGGCGAAGGCGGCGACCUGGUCCGUGACUGACGCUGAGGCGCGAAAGCGUGGGGAGCAAACAGG